AUACGCAUUGUGAAUUGCAGAUUUCAGUGAACCAUCAGAUUUCCGAACGCAUAUGGGCGCUGUGGGGACUUCCCCGCAGCACGUCUGUUUCAGUGUCUUU
rnacentral:rRNA from 1 species